UGUCCCGGCAAGAAGAGGAAAGUAACCAAGACAAGAAUAAACUCCAAUUCUCCUGGUUCUCAAGCCUUUAGAUUUGAAUGGGAAGGAAACAUUUGGUUCUCUUGGGUCUCCAGCUUGGCCACAUAUCUUGUAUAUCUUGAGACUUGCCAGCCUCCAGAACUGCAGGACCCAACUCUUUAUACUAAGUCCCUUCAUGCAUGUGUGACUACAUUCAUGGGUUCUGUUGAUACCAAGAAGCACAACUCUACAAAAUGUGAUCAUACAGAACAUUUCCCGGUGGUUGCAAAGUCUGGUAAAAAUUCAAGGUACUCUGAUGUAAAAAGAAAUGGCAGCUAAGGAGUUGCAUGGGAGUUGGAUGACUGAUACGAGUUUCU
rnacentral:lncRNA from 1 species